GACGAACGCUGGCGGCGUGCUUAACACAUGCAAGUCGAACGGAAAGGCCCUGCUUUUGUGGGGUUCUCGAGUGGCUAACGGGUGAGUAACACGUGAGUAACCUGCCCUUUACUUUGGGAUAACUUCAGGAAACUGGGGCUAAUACCGGAUAGUAGCUCCUGCUGCAUGGUGGGGGUUGGAAAGUUUCGUCGGUUGGGGAUGGACUCGCGGCUUAUCAGCUUGUUGGUGGGGUAGUGGCUUACCAAGGCUUUGACGGGUAUCCGGCCUGAGAGGGUGACCGGCCACAUUGGGACUGAGAUACGGACCAGACUGCUACGGGAGGCAGCAGUGGGGAAUAUUGCACAAUGGGCGGAAGCCUGAUGCAGCAACGCCGCGUGCGGGAUGAAGGCCUUCGGGUUGGAAACCGCUUUCGCCUGUGACGAAGCGUGAGUGACGGUAAUGGGUAAAGAAGCACCGGCUAACUACGUG
rnacentral:rRNA from 1 species